AACUUCUCUUUUCAACUUUCUCUUUUUACACCGACCAGUCCUAACGCAAAUAAUAAAGAAUUUGGUGGUUGAUACUCGAGAUCUCAAAUUUGAAUCUCAGUUGAUUUACAUUUCUAAUUAAAUUUAUUUCUAAACGAAAUAAACGAAACGGAUAGCAUGUUACUAUUUUUUUAAAAAAAAACUUUAACUUUACUGACUGCUAACCUUUCAAUUUUUUUGAUUCGAGUGAGUUAACGAUACAUUGACUUUAAAUUUUACAUUAAUUAUUUACUUUAAUGAGUUUAUAGUUGUGAAAAUUACAUGAAAUAUACUAACCUAUAAAAAUAAACGACGCAUUCAAAUUUUAAAGUUAAAGUGUACAUUAUUGACUAACUCAAAUCAAAUAAAUUGAAAGAUUAGAUAUAGCAAAUCCAAAUGGUCCACAGUUAAUGUAAAUUU
rnacentral:lncRNA from 1 species